UGUUGAUAUUGGAAUCUGCCGUACAUGCAAAGGGUGUCCUAAUAGAAAUUUCAGUUCUAGGAAUUCAGGUUAGAAGAGAUGCUUGGUCGAAACUCAAGAUAUCCCAAAAGUCUAAGUUGCUGAAGCACAAGGAAGAUCCAAAUACAAGUUUUGGCAAGGGGAAGCAGCAAACUUAAGGCAACAACUGCAUUACUUGCAAGAACGCCACAGGCAGCUUUUGGGUGAAAAACUUUCUGGACUCAGCAUCAAAGAUCUUACAGAUCUGGAAAACCAACUUGACAUGAGUUUGAGAAG